rfam:Ictidomys tridecemlineatus contig045253, whole genome shotgun sequence.
GGGGAUAUAGCUCAGUUGGUAGAGUGCUUGCCUUGCAUGCAUAAGGUUCUGGGGUUCGAUCCCCCCCCAGCACCA